rnacentral:rRNA from 1 species
UACGUAGGGGGCAAGCGUUGUCCGGAUUUAUUGGGCGUAAAGAGCGUGUAGGCGGCUUUACAGGUCCGUUGUGAAAACUCGAGCUCAACCUCGAGACGCCGAUGGAAACCCUCAGACUAGAGUCCGGAAGAGGAGAGUGGAAUCCUGGUGUAGCGGUGAAAUGCGCAGAUAUCGGGAGGAACACCUAUGGCGAAGGCAGGUACCUGGGCCUUUACUGGACGCCUGACGACUCGAAAGCUAGGGGAGCAAACAGG